rnacentral:sRNA from 1 species
CGCUGCACUGCGGUGCCCGAGGCCCCGCCCCUGGUGAUGACGUCAACGUCCAGGCCCCGCCCCGGCUCGCUGCGCAGGUGGGGGCUCGGAAAGGUGCGCGCGGGGCAGAGGGUGUGGGACCAGCCAAGGGCUGGAGGACUCACGGGGCGAGCCCGGGUGCCGCCCGGAAGUUCUCCUCGGCGCAGGGAUGUCAGGAGGAGUUCAACCGACUCCUCCAAGGGACUCAGCCCAGCUUAACACGCCGUAGCGUGGCGGAGCGUCGCAGGCGUCCCCAAGCAGAAACUUGCUGGGCAGGACAGACCCGUUGGCUCCGCGUUCCAGCCAGUGCUUAGCCUCCCUGGUGCCUGGGGAGGAUGAGUUGGCCAACAGUUUCAAUCUCAUAUCCAGGCUCUGUCCUGGGGAAACUCGGGGUUUUUUGAAUUUCACACAUUGUUCUAUCGUAGGGUUCAGAAAGAGCCUUUGAUGACCUUAGGGCGCUGCUGCUGACCACGGCUCUGAAAGACAAGGACCUUGGGACGCUAAAGGUGGAACAGGGCAGACACAUGAUCCGUGUUAAUUCUGUUAAGUCUAAUCCUGUUAGCGGGUGCUUAGUUUUCUUCACAGAUAUUUGUGAGCUGGUCCUUAAAGGUCCUUAAAAACACACUCAUGUAAUUCACACAAGCCAGACAGGGGAGCACCUUUAUUGUAAUUAGUCAAUAAUUUAUUAGGUCAUUACUAAAAACAAGUGAUAGGUUGUUUUUAAAUCCUAAUGACUAACAAGCAAAAACAAACGUCAGAGUAGGAUGCAAUGGAAAACAGCAGAUCCGGGUAGAGACGCUUGCAGCCAAGCCUGAUGACCUGAGUUCAAUCCCCAGGCCCUACAUACACGAUGGAUGUAGAGAACUGCCUCCAGAAAGCUGUGCAUUCUUAUCCGCGUGCUUACACCCACACAUAUAAAUAGGGCCAGAGAAAAAAUACUUCUGGAUAGAAAGAUAAAAUGACCUCGGAGCAGGCCACAGAGGCUGGAAUGGGUUGACUCUGGCUGUUGAUCCUACCCAGCAGAAAGGAGGACCAGGGUUCUUUUCAACUUUCUUCCAGAAGUUGAGGAGCCAGUAUUCCAACUCCAGUGGUGCGGAUUAUCCCCGUGGCCUCUAGUUUACAGGUUUUCCUGUUGAUAUUUCCUGAUAAGAACAUAGAGAUUCACUUGAACAAGCUCAGACAAGAAUCACCAAGAAGUCAUGUCUGCAGCCGUACCUUGGCCUGUCUGCCCUGGUCCAUGCAUCUAUACGUGCAUAUGUUUUAGGUUGACAGCAAAAUAACAAGAAGUGCAGAGUCCACGCAACCUCCUCUCCACAGACGGGCAGUCUCAACUGUGAGCUCUACCCCCACGUGUGCGACCUCCUCAACUGUGGGUCAGUUCCACACACGUGCGAUCUCAAGUACGAGUCCUCCCUACACGGAGUCUCAGCUGUGAAUGAGUCCUCUGCACAUGCACCACUGCUGACCAGCCUGAAGCGGGAUAAAGUCCUUGUCUUGAUUGGAUUUCAUGAUCUCCAUUGUUCAGUCCAUGGGUUGUGGCAAAGAUUUCAAAUUUCAUUUUAUUUGCAUUUUAGUAUAAACAGGUGUGAUAUAACUAGUUACUGAUUUUUAACUUUGAAUAAUGAUUUUAAACUUGUGUGUGUGUGUGUGUGUGUGUGCGUGUGUGCGCACACCUGACAUGAGUCCACUACUUUAACAGCAAAUAGAGCAUUUACAUGGCUAACUUUUUUACUGAUUCCCUAGCUUUGUUAUGUCUUUUUUUUUUUUUCAGAUUACUCUAAUUGAAAAUAGAUCACGUUAUAAUUGGAAAUCCUCCCCUGUCCCCUUUCCCUGUAGUGCUGGGGAUUCAACCCCGGACCCAAUGCACAGGAGGGAAGUGGUUCUACCACUGAGCCACACCCUCUGUCCUAGAAAUGACUUUUAAAAUCAUUCAGGGCCCG